rnacentral:lncRNA from 1 species
AGUCUUAAACAAUGCUGCAAUUGAUUUGUUGUACAAUUGUACAUGUCAGCAACUUGAUAUAAAGCAAUUAUAUAAAUAUAAAAGAAGCUUCUUCAAGAACAUAAGUAUAUAAGUAUAUUUAAAUUUCUUGCAAUGUGGUGUUGCAUUAGUUUAGCAAAAUAUAAAGUGCAUCAAGUUCUAUGUACAACAGAAAUUUAAUUAGUAAGCUAUCUGUGUAUAAGAGGCAUAAUUGACUAUAUCAAAGUUAUAAUACUACAGUCAUAAUAAACCUCAAUACCAAAUAAGAAGGCAGAUGUCUAAGAAUUUAAAUUUAAAUUUGAAUCUUAUCUAUGACAAAAUAGAACACACAAAUGCAGCAAAACAAUCAAUAAUCCAUAUAAAGGACCACAUGUAUAAGUACUCAAGAGAGCAAAAAUUUCUUAAAAUAAUUUCCCGUAGGUGCUUCCAUAUACACUUAUAUGUGCAAAGUGAUCUUUAAACUAUCAUUAUAACUAAUCAGGAGUUACUUUUGUAAACUUUAUAGAACAUUACAAACUGAGUUAUGCUAAUACAAAUUUUAGUAUACUUAUUAAUCUCCAAAAAAUGACAUAUACACAUAUUUUAAUACAAAUUUUAGUAUUAAUCUCCAAAAAUUUCCACAUAAGUCUUCAGAAUCAUGUCGAUGUAAUUGUUGUGCUUAACUUUCUUAAAACACGAAAGGUUAUUUUUUACAACGAAAGUGACUGAUUAAAUAAACAAUUAACUGAGUGAUUAAUUACUGACCUUUAGAGCUUGUACUUCUUAAAUUGUUUUGCUUAUGCAUCCAUCUCCAUAGCCUACCUUUAGUUCAAUGCUUAUACGAUUGAAUCCAAAUUUCAAAAUACACAAACAUGAUAAUGAAUAUGGCAGUCUUUGUAAUUCAAUGCGGUUUUCAUUUCACCUAGAAAAAGAUAAAGAAAACCUUACAACUCAUGUCAUCAAAAUCAGCAAAUAAUACAUAAAANN